GGCAGGGAGCUGCAACCACCCCUGGGAGGGGCGAGACCAAGGGAGGAAGUGGUUUUACUGGAGCCCGGGAUCUGGAGCCGUUUGGUGGAAGUCCAUCUUCCUGGUCACAGUAAUUGGCCCUGAAAGUUUCGCUGAGCCCUUGGACAAAAGGGACCAUCUUCUUCUGAGCUGGCAAGGCCAUGAAGGCACCACCCGGACCAGGCCUGCCUGAGAAUGAAGCCAACAAGGGAGAAAGCUCAAUCAUGGGCAGCAACAGUGAGUUUUGACAACAUUGUUUCCAUGCCUGGAUACAGCUAUGCCUGAAGCCACCUUUCACCUAUUAUGGGUGCUAAUAAGUUCCCUCUUUUUGCAAGACCAAGUUGUGUUAGGAUUUCAGUCCACUUACUGGUGGAAGCCAUGAUAAAUGUCUGUGCCGUAGGCCCAAGUCCUGACCUCACAUGCUUUCUUGAUUCGAGGUUCCUUGAUGGGCAGCUCUGUAGGUCUGGUCCCCAGGACAAGAGGUCCCUCUGAAUAUCCUGUAGUAUGUGGUUUGCACAGAGAAAAGCAGAUCAGAAAUUGGUGGGUAGAGUUCCCUGGUGGCCUAGUGUUAAGGAUCAGCAUUGUCACUGCUGUGGCUGGGGUUCGAUCCCUGGCCCUAGACCUUCCGCACGCCCUGGGGAAGGCCAAGACAGAGAGAAAGAGAGAGGGAACUUGGUGGGAUACCACCUGGGGGGUUCACGUCAGGAGGGCGCACUUUUCCUGAUUCCAGGCUUGGUGACUUGCCCAAGGCCCCCAGGUGGUGGGCAGGAGAGCUGGGUCCCUUGGCUGCUUUGCCUGAAUCUGGGCCUCUGGUGAAGGCUGUGGGGGCAGGGCCUCCUUGUUAGGCCAGGAUGACAGACCUAUUCCCAUUUCUGAAGCAACCGCAGAGCUGAAAGAGCUCUGCCUGGGUGGGAGAGCGGAGCCCUGAGGCUCAGAGGCCUCUGUGGCCCUGCCUCUGCUGAGACAGGUCUGUCCCUCCCUGGUCGCCUAGGAGGGCCGUGGCAGGGCACGUGGUGAUCUGUGUUUCAAGGACAAAGCCAGAACGAAGCCUGGCAGCCCAGCGCCUCAUCAUCUCAGCACCACUCCAGCCCUCCGCGGGCACUUUACACUUUUAAAGCCUAUUUUAGCAGUAGCAGCUCAUCUGAUUCUCUUUAAUGCACUUGCAGGCAGCACAGAUAUGCAUCAGGGAAAGAACCCCCUGAACCAAGUGCUUCUGUGGGCCUGGUGAUCCCUCCCUCGGCGCCCGCUGCCAGGCCACAAGCCUCUGAUGAAUCAGCCUGAGCUCUUGAUGGCUGCACACGGAGGGGGCCCCUCUUGCAAAGGGAGGGGGAGCGUGUACAUUGCAGGUGACCGAGAGUCAGGGCCCAGCUGCGGGGAGGCGGCAGACCCUGGGCGGGGGCCCUGGAUGGCGGAUCGCGUCCAGAGCCCUGCCACCAGGUCACGUGAGGACGGGCCCUGGCUACCGCCCCUCUCGCGCUGCCCUCUAUACGGGGCAGACUUUAUCCUGCACGGAGGACUGGGCACCCGCCCGGUCCCAGAUGGACUGGCUCGCAGGGAGGUGGGGUGGGGAGGAACCGACAGAGGAGAGGGCGGCGCGGGGCGGGGGCGGGCUCCCCACAGGGGAGGAGGCGCAGCCAGACUAAUGAGGGCUGCGGAGCCACGCGGCGACUCCCGGAUCAAACACGAUCGCGCCGAGCUUGUUAAAACGCGUAAAUAAAGCCCUGUGAGCGCCUGUCCGGAAAAACGUGUCAGUCAGACAGACGGAUGACUGAGGGAAGACGUCUGAGGCUUCCGCCGUUUGCACAAAAUACAUGUUUUUGAUGGGGGGGGGGGGAGGCACCCAAAUCCCUGAUCUCACUGUUAAAGCCAGAGUCAGAGUUUUUCUUCAAAGCUGAAAAAUGUCCCUGGAAAGGAGCAUGAAGUCGCGGGUAAUGGAGAGACGUCAGUGAAGCGAAGGGGGCGCCCGGUCCUGCCAGCCAAGCGGGUAUCCCCAGCCCGUGCCCUGCUCGGGCAGGGCCGAGGGGGAUGGGGGUUCUGAAGCGCUCAGCUCAGAUCCGAUGUCCACUACGCCCAGGGUCUUUCUCGGCCGCCUUGUGUCAGCCCACUUCCGGGGGGGUGGGGCGUCCCCGUGAGUCUGGAAGGGGCGGAGCUGCUUGUCUGGGGGGGGGGGCCUCCAUCCCCACCCACCACCCCAGCACCCACAGAUGAGGACCCAAGGGGAAACCAGCAGGGGCGGCUCCAGGGUUUGGAGGCUUGGAGCUCAGACCGUCGGAGAUUCUCUUUGAGGAAAGGCCUACAUCAAUCCCACAUAUACUCAGGUAUGAAGGCAGAAGCCUCGCGUGAGAAAGGAAGUCACCACGAAGUCGCCGAGCCCUGGGAAUCCAGACCUCUUUCUUCUGCAGUGUCUUGAGAACUUUUGCGGCAUUGGGGGUAUCCCUUCAGGAAGCAGGAGAUGCCUGGGGGAAGUCUGGCGCUCCCUCAGUCGGUAAGCGAUUUCUUCAGAAUUCAGGGGCUGAGCGGUCCCCGGAGGAGCGCUGCUGCGGAUACAGUCUGCAAACAAGGACUGUUGCUGUGCGCGCCGCCGGCCUGGGGCGCGUGCGGGGAGAACGGGAGGGUCCCCACGCGAAGGAGGAAUGAUGCUGACAGCAGCGGCUCACCUCUGGGUAAUUUACAAACCGUGUUCACGCCACGUCUGAUUUGAUCCUGAUUAAAAAACCAAAGGCAAAAAAUUCAUGCUGGCUUUGUUCCUAUACUUGCUGUGAAGACUGAGAAGCUGAGGGCUGCCUCUUUGGAAGGAGGAGCUGUGACACGGAGGCGAGUUAGGCGACCGUGAACUUGGACAGGGCGUUGGGGUCCCCGGACUGGAACCACAGGACACGGAGGGAAGGGUGGUUGAGACCAGCGCAGCUGCCUCUGGGCUUCACGUGGAGGCCAAGCUCAGGACCUUGGCUGUGCCUAGGAGCGGCUGCGGGCCUGCCUGGGGGCCACCAGACCCCCGCGUGGCCAGAGGAUCUUCCCAGCCCCUGGGCUGAACUGCCCCAAAAAGGGCGUGCAUCGUUCUCCCGGUUUCCUUUAUUUGAAGAGGCCUGUUUAAUAACCCCAUCAAAGCUGUCAGCUGACCAGACCCAGACAGCAGCCUCUCAAGAAAACAGUAAACUAGAUGAAAGAUGACUUUCUCAUAUCCGGUUGACAUGCUUUAUGUGUGAUCACUCUUGUGACAACAGAAGGUAUAUAAAAAGGCUCAGUUAUAGUUUCUCGGCAAGAAUAAAAUAACUUAGGGGGACUGGUCCGCCCAGGAGCCUGCAGAUGAAUGUCUGGCUAUAAAAGGGGACUUGCCUCAUAUUUCAUGAAGUUGCAGCUCAGCUGCUUGGCAGGUGAGGCAGGAAAAGUGGGAUAAGAACGUCUUAUGAUGCGUCCAGAAGUGUCCAGUCCACGGUGUGAUCAACGUUCGGACUUGAAUGACGGGAACGAGCAUUACAAUUUUCUCCCUUUAAAUGUCCUUUGGGGGAGGUAGCAGUUUUAGGACUGAGGGUAAAAUCUGAUCAUUACCAGCUACCCCUGAAAUGGGAGGAAAUCCUUGUUCAGAUGAUAGCGUGUCGUGCUACCUGCAGGUGAGGGUUGGUUAUCUCUGUGUUACAAAUAGGGAAACGGAGGCUCUGAUAGGCACCAGGGAUUGUCUGAGGCCUCGGAAUAAACAAGAAACACAACUGGGAAUCAACCUAAGAUCUGGCUAACUUCCAAGCCUGUGCUCUGUGGUAACAUCAUAAUUUAAUUGUUUAAAACUGACUUGCUCUGGGAGUUCCCGUUGUGGCGCAGCAGAAACGAAUCCGACUAGG